GCUCAGUAACACGUGGAUAAUCUGCCCUAUGGUGGAGGAUAACUUCGGGAAACUGAGGAUAAUACUCCAUAGGUCCGGGAUACUGGAAUGUUCUCGGGCUGAAAGUUCCGGCGCCAUAGGAUGAAUCUGCGGCUGAUUAGGUAGUUGUUGGGGUAACGGCCCAACAAGCCUGUAAUCGGUACGGGUUGUGGAGCAAGAGCCCGGAGAUGGAAUCUGAGACACGAUUCCAGGCCCUACGGGGCGCAGCAGGCGCGAAAACUUUACAAUGCAGGAAACUGUGAUAAGGGAACCCCGAGUGCCCGCAUACGCGGGCUGUCCGGGUAUUUAAAAAGUAUCCGAAGAAAGGGCCGGGCAAGACCGGUGCCAGCCGCCGCGGUAAUACCGGCGGCUCGAGUGGUGGCCGCUUUUAUUGGGCUUAAAGCGUUCGUAGCUUGGUUUUUAAGUCUCUUGGGAAAUCUCACGGCUUAACCGUGAGGCGUCUAAGAGAUACUGGAGACCUAGGAACCGGGAGAGGUAAGAGGUACUUCAGGGGUAGAAGUGAAAUUCUGUAAUCCUUGAGGGACCACCGAUGGCGAAGGCAUCUUACCAGAACGGCUUCGACAGUGAGGAACGAAAGCUGGGGGAGCGAACGGGAUUAGAUACCCCGGUAGUCCCAGCCGUAAACUAUGCGCGUUAGGUGUGCUGGCAACUACGAGUUGCUGGGGUGCCGAAGUGAAAACGUGAAACGUGCCGCCUGGGAAGUACGGUCGCAAGGCUGAAACUUAAAGGAAUUGGCGGGGGAGCACCACAACGGGUGGAGCCUGCGG
rnacentral:rRNA from 1 species